UUUCCUGUGGCUCAGUUGGUAGAGCAUUGCGCCAACCAUUCAACGGUCGGUCGGUCAAAUCCCUGGGAAAG